rnacentral:pre_miRNA from 1 species
AUCAGCGUCACCUGGGAAGCUUGUUAAAGUGCAGUUGGCUGGGCCCAAACCACGAGAGUUUCUGAUUCAGGAGAUCAGGGAGGUUUUGCAUUUUUAACUGGUUCCCAGGUGAUACCAAU